rnacentral:lncRNA from 1 species
AAAGUAAUUUAGCUGUAAUUUAGGAAUACAUUAUUGUAAUUAGAUUAAUUUGAUCCUUUCCUUAUAGGUUGUCCAAAUUAACUAUAUAUGUAUCAUUGUAUUAUUGAUUUUAAAUAACAAAUAAAGAAGAUCUAGAAUAUUCUCCAUAUUAUUCACAUGGUAUCAGAGCCAAAACCCUAGACUUACUGUAGCCGCCGCCGUCGCCGCCGCCGGAAAAACUCUGCCGUGAAGUCCUGCCGUGAAGACGCUUCCGCGAACGCCAGAUCUCCCUUCAGUCAAUCUUCCUGCCGCAGCCUUCUUCCACGAACGCCAGACGCAAGACCUUCCCUCGGUCCUUGCCGUGAAGCCCUGCCGUGAAGCCCUGCCGUGAAGACACUUCCGCGAACGCCUUGCCGUGAAGCCCUGCCGUGAAGACACUUCCGCGAACGCCUUGCCGUGAAGCCCUGCCGUGAAGACACUUCCGCGAACACCUUGCCGUGAAGCCCUGCCGUGAAGACACUUCCGCGAACACCUUGCCGUGAAGCCCUGCCGUGAAGACGCUUCCGCGAACGCCAGAUCUCCCCUCGGUCAAUCUCCCUGCCGCAACCCUCUGCCGUGAAAACGCUUCCACGAACACCGCGCCGCGAACUCCAGCAACCUCCUACCAAUAUUCUGUGAACUGUAUACUCGCCGCCGUCGCAAGCACCCUCCUGCCUUGAAGACCUCUGCUGGCGACCUCCUGCCGUGAAGAAACAACCGCGCCGCGAACUCCAGCAACCUCCUGCCUCGAAUCCCAACUGCAAUUCCAGUGAAAUCCCAGCCACGAACUUUAGCCUCGAAUCCCAGCCGCAAAUACUCUGUGAAUCUCCAGCAGCUAAUUAUAUUUAGAUGGAGAAACAUGAAGUUGCUCGUCCCAUUAGCACCAUUCUCGAUGGAACUAAUUAUAUCACUUGGGCCCACCAAAUGAGGAGUUUUUUGAUAGGUCGAAAACUGUGGCGCAUCGUUACUGGAGAUAUCACUAAACCAGUCAAACCUACUCCUCCGAUGGACACCACUGAAAAUAUUGAUACAGACCCAUCUGAUGUCACUGUUCAAGAGACGACUGCAGAAACCGACAAAUAUGAUUCACACUCAAUUCUCCAGCAAAAUUAAAAUCUUUCGAACUGAUAAUGCGAUGGAAUAUAAGGACUCUCAACUUCUUUCCUUCCUUGCCCAGCAAGGCACUCUGAUUCAACGCUCCUGUCCUCACACCUCUCAGCAAAAUGGAAGAGCUGAACGCAAACAUCGUCACAUUCUUGACUCUGUU